rnacentral:rRNA from 1 species
UACGGAGGGUGCAAGCGUUAUCCGGAUUCACUGGGUUUAAAGGGUGCGUAGGAGGGCAGGUAAGUCAGUGGUGAAAUCUCCAAGCUUAACUUGGAAACUGCCGUUGAUACUAUCUGUCUUGAAUACCGUGGAGAUGAGCGGAAUAUGUCAUGUAGCGGUGAAAUGCUUAGAUAUGACAUAGAACACCAAUUGCGAAGGCAGCUCGCUACACGAAUAUUGACUCUGAGGCACGAAAGCGUGGGGAUCAAACAGG